rnacentral:rRNA from 1 species
CGAGGAGCUUGCUCCUCUGACGUUAGCGGCGGACGGGUGAGUAACACGUGGAUAACCUACCUAUAAGACUGGGAUAACUUCGGGAAACCGGAGCUAAUACCGGAUAAUAUAUUGAACCGCAUGGUUCAAUAGUGAAAGACGGUUUUGCUGUCACUUAUAGAUGGAUCCGCGCCGCAUUAGCUAGUUGGUAAGGUAACGGCUUACCAAGGCAACGAUGCGUAGCCGACCUGAGAGGGUGAUCGGCCACACUGGAACUGAGACACGGUCCAGACUCCUACGGGAGGCAGCAGUAGGGAAUCUUCCGCAAUGGGCGAAAGCCUGACGGAGCAACGCCGCGUGAGUGAUGAAGGUCUUCGGAUCGUAAAACUCUGUUAUUAGGGAAGAACAAAUGUGUAAGUAACUAUGCACGUCUUGACGGUACCUAAUCAGAAAGCCACGGCUAACUACGUGCCAGCAGCCGCGGUAAUACGUAGGUGGCAAGCGUUAUCCGGAAUUAUUGGGCGUAAAGCGCGCGUAGGCGGUUUUUUAAGUCUGAUGUGAAAGCCCACGGCUCAACCGUGGAGGGUCAUUGGAAACUGGAAAACUUGAGUGCAGAAGAGGAAAGUGGAAUUCCAUGUGUAGCGGUGAAAUGCGCAGAGAUAUGGAGGAACACCAGUGGCGAAGGCGACUUUCUGGUCUGUAACUGACGCUGAUGUGCGAAAGCGUGGGGAUCAAACAGGAUUAGAUACCCUGGUAGUCCACGCCGUAAACGAUGAGUGCUAAGUGUUAGGGGGUUUCCGCCCCUUAGUGCUGCAGCUAAC